CCUCCACCUCCAUCCACAACCCCGCCGCUACCCCUCACCCUAAUUAGAAUUCUAAAAUCAAAGUUUUUUUGCUGAAUUUAACAAAUCCCCUUUCACCCUCACUCUUGAUUUAUCCAAUUUGAUCUAAUGUCAGCUGCCUUGGGAUACCAGAUUUGCAAGGGGAAGGGAACCAGACAAUGGAAAAAUUAGUGAUGGCCUAAAUAAAAUGGCACCACCCCAACAGGAAGAUACAUCAAGUGAAUUUAUUCACGGCAUUGCUAUUGGUGUUGCGAUUGCCAUUUGGUUAUAGCACUGCUUGCUGAUCGCCAGAAUUGAUAUUGUCCAUGAAGGCGGCAAUGCUUUCCCUCGAAAGAAAUGGAUGCAUGACUUUCCCGCUUUCUUCCCCUACCUCUCCCUCUUGAAUGCCUAUUCUGUAAUUUUCAGAAAUUGACAACACUAAAAAAAAAAAGCCCACAAUUUCUGAAAAUUACAGAAUAGGCUGGAAUAAAGAUCAUGUUCUAAGCAUUCAAGAGGAAAGCUCACUCUAGAGGAGAACUUGUAAGGCGCGAGAUCUGGAUCCAGAUCCAGCGACGGAGCUUUCCCGGGUUGUGGAAGCAGAAGAAAGAGCGCAUCCCUAGCGGUACGAAAAGAGAGGUCGUGAUGAUAUCAUCUACGUCCGUACUGCUCAUGCAAAGGUUCAAAUCCUUUUACUCCAGAUUAUGAACACGGUCUGAUUUGCUUAGCGAGGUUUGCUCUAAAAGCCUCUGUAAUAGCUUCUCUUAUUUAAGCUAAAGAACCCAUGGAGAAUCCCUCUAUCUAGAGGGAGGUACCCAAAACGAAAGUUACGGAUCCCGGAGCCUUAAAUGAUAUUAUUUUGGAUCAAAUGAUGAAGCACUUGUCCUGUCCAACCAACCCAACGUUGAAUCAGGUUGAUUUGGGCAAUCCACUUCUUAAGGAGAUUCCUUACCAACUGCACAGUGAAGCAGCCAUGUGAACAAAAGGGGCGGGCAAAGAGAAUCAAAUGAAUAGAGAUCAUGAACUGGGCGUUGUCCCUGGUGGAGGCUCGAAUAUUCUGUUUUGCUUCUUCCCAACUUAUUGAACGGAUGUCAACUUACGUGGAGUGAAGUCCGGGUCCAUCCCAAGCAGCAAAUCACUCAAAUUCAAUCAAAAAGGAGAGGGAGGGGAAGAAAGCGGGAAAGUCAUGCAUCCAUUUCUUUCAAGAGAAAGCAUUGCCCCUUCAUGGACAAUAUCAAUUCUGGCGAUCAACAAGCAGUGCUAUAAUCCAAAUGGCAAUCACAACACCAAUAGCAAUGCCGUGAAUAAAUUCAGUUGAUUUAUCUUCUUGUUGCGGUGAUGCCAUUUUAUUUAGGCCAUCACUAAUUUUUUCCAUUGUCUGGUUCCCUUCCUCUUGCAAAUCUAGCUGGAUCUUCCAUAAAUCAUCAGUGGUUUUAGUAGACGAGAGCUGGUAUCCCAAGGCAGUUGACAUUACGAUCAAAAUGGAUAAAGCAAGAGUGAGGGUGAAAGGGGAUUCGUUAAAUUCAGCAAAAAAACUUUGAUUUCAGAAUUGUAAUUAGGGUGAGGGGUAGUGGCGGGGUUGUGGAUGGAGGGGGUGGGGGUGAGGGUGGCGGUGGGGUGGAGGGGGUGCGGUUGGGUUUGGGAGUGGGAGUGGCACGUCUGAAGGAAUAGGGGUUCAAAAUUUUAGAGAUGUGAACAUUGGUUGUGGGAGGUGGAGUAAAUGGGUUUUGAUUCCUACAGUUGGACGAGCUACUGGUCUGAAGGAAUAGGGGUUCAGUAGGAUGAUGGUGGCCUUCCGGCAACAAAGGGCGCCAAUGCCUUGCAGAAGAACCAUGGAUGCAUGCAGAAGGUUCUCUUUUGGAGAUAAUUGGUAAAAUAUAUUUGGGGCCUGAAACCUGUCUAAUAGAACUUCAUUAUUAUAAUUCUACCAUCUCAAUUGUCAGUCCAUAUUUGAUACCUGUGAUACCUAGGACAUUUUUGGGUAUCCCUAGACUUUUUAAAUAUUUACGCAAUGCAGGUAUUUGAUUCCUGAAUUUUUAAUAUUUAUGUCUCAGGAUCAGGUUUCAAAACAAAAUAUACAUAGUCGAUUGCUUUAUUUUCAGA